rnacentral:rRNA from 1 species
AACGAACGCUGGCGGCAGGCCUAACACAUGCAAGUCGAGCGAGGACUGCGGUUAUCGCGGCGGACGGGUGAAUAACGCGGGGGAAUGUGCCCAUCCCUACGGAAUAGCCUCGUGAAACUGGCAGUAAUACCGUAUACGCUCCUAGGGUGCAAGAUUUAUCGGAGAAGGAUCAGGCCGCGUUGGAUUAGGUAGUUGGUGGGGUAAUGGCCUACCAAGCCUACGAUCCAUAGCUGGUUUGUGAGGGUGAUCAGCCACACUGGCACGGAGACACGGCCCAGACUCCUACGGGAGGCAGCAGUGGGGAAUCUUGGACAAUGGGGGCAACCCUGAUCUAGCCAUGCCUCGUGAGUGAUGAAGGCCUUAGGGUUGUAAAGCUCUUUCAGCUGGGAAGAUAAUGACGGUACCAGCAGAAGAAGCCCCGGCUAACUCCGUGCCAGCCGCCGCGGUAAAAC